GCAUACUCAGUAAUAGAGAAGUUAUAGCAGUGAAUCAAGAUAGCCUUGGAGUCCAAGGAAAGAAGGUUAAGAAAAAUGGUGAUUUGGAGGUCUGGGCUAGCCCACUUGCACAUAACAAAGUUGUUGUGAUUCUAUGGAACAGAAAAAGCUCAACAGCCGAAAUUACAGCAUAUUGGUCCGACAUAGGACUCAACUCGACCACAGUCGUUAAAGCUCGUGACUUGUGGGCGUACAAGACUCAAAGAUCAGUGAAGGGACAGAUCUCGGAAACUGUAGAAUCUCACGCUUGUAAGAUGUACGUUCUUACUCCACGAUAAGGAGUUUAGAGUACAUGACCAGUUAACUGCAGAUUGUGUUAUGUGUUAUGACACGUUUGUCGUAAAAAUAAGAUUUGCGAAGGCAAAGCCAAAAUAAAGCUAAUAAACAGAGAUAUGUUCUCUUUUUGAGUUUUUAAUGAUGUUUUUAAUGCGUUUUUAUCAUCUAGAAUUGUCUGAAUAUAAGCAUUUUUUUUCAUUUAAACUUUUUAACUAGUACGAGUUAUUGAUAGUAUAACUAUAACUAUUUUAAUAAUAACAUAUGUACUGAAAAAAGUGCCAAUCAAAUGAUAUUCGCCUAAUCAAGAUUUUUU